rnacentral:sRNA from 1 species
GCCGGGCGUGGUGGCACAUACCUGUAAUCCCAGCAGCACUGGAGGCUGAGACAAGCGGAUCAUGAGUUUAAAGCCAGCAUCAGCCACAGCAAGGCGCUAAGCAACUCAGUGAGACCCUGUCUCUA